rnacentral:tRNA from 1 species
CGGGAUGUAGCGCAGCCCGGUAGCGCGUCCGUCUGGGGGGCGGGAGGCCGCAGGUUCAAAUCCUGUCAUCCCGA